AAUAUUACAAUCCCAGGUGAUCUGAAGGAGAAGGAGUCUGUCACUAUUACCUGCUCAGCUCUCACUCCCUGUCCACACUCCCCUCCUCAACUCACCUGGAAUCUCCAACAAGACUCUCAAAACAAAAUAGAGGAAAACACAGCUGGAAGCUUUACAACUAAAAUCCAGCAGACCAUCACUCUGUCAGACACACAUGAUGGAAAGAAGAUCAGCUGCUCUGCCAGAUAUCCUGUGAACCAAGGAAAAGACACCAAGACAGCAGAGACAGAAGAGACUCUCAGUGUUUCAUGUGGUAUUGGUCUCUUUGCUCUACUGCAGACUGCAGGAAUCACAGUGCUUGUGAUCACACUGGCCAUCUUUGAGUGCUGCUUCAGAUCGAGACGC